UUUGCCUAAGAUUAUACAGAUAUUACUGUAUCGGUUAUACAGAUAACUAUUAUACAGAUAACAAAACCAGAAUUAAAGUCAGAUUGUCUUUUUUUUCUUAAACAUUCAGCUCUUUUAUUAUGUGACAAUAAAUGAAGCUAUUUAAUAGAAAGGUGGAAAGAGGGAGCAGAACAAAAGUCCAAGAAGAAAUGUGCAUCUCUUCAAAAUCAUUUCCCCCCUUUUUUUCACCAUGUCUGCCUUUGCCAACCAAAGAGAUGGGUCCUGGACUGGUGAUGUGUCAAGGCUGGCAACUGAUUGGCAGUUUGGAGGAAUGGCUGGCCCCAUUUCCAUGGAAGUUGCUUCCCUGGAUGCUAAUUGAGAGGGAAUUGGCACAGAAAGACACGAUUUUCCCAAGAAAUUGUUAAUAUUGUAGACCUUGGAGUUCCACAAGUAAUAACUAGAAGUUGGAAGAAGAAUAUACCACCUUUCUCUCUCACUUCAAUCUCCCUACCCUCAACAUAGACAGGCAGGGAACAGGGGACCAAGAGAGUAAUUUCAUAUGAAGAGCUCUCAUAUUUCAGACUUUUAGUGACUAGAGAUUUGUAUACAUCUUUGAAAUUAAUAGUUGCUCAUUUAAGGUUUUGCUUUUUCUUUCCAGUAAGUCUUUUUUCUGUGUAAGGAGAGAAUAUCAUAUGUACUUUACCCCAGAUAACCUGUGAAAAAUAAGAGUGAAAAAAUUCCCUAAUGUACCUAAGCCCUUGGUGUCGUUAAUGAAUGCAAGCAUUUUCAAAAGCUAGUAUGAUUUCAGUCUCUGAAUCAUCAUAACUUCUGUAGCAAGGGAAAUUACAGGGUGCAAAGAGUUUUGAUUGACAAGCCCUCAAGACUCAGAAUUCUUCCAUUGCUGACAGGAAAAGUUCCAAACUGUUGAAGACAGUUCCCCAACUGACAGUCUGGAGCUGGGAAGUGAAGCCUGAAGGGUGCAGAUCUAAUCUCUCCAGGACCCUCUUGGACAUCUUGGAAGCAGCCAUCAAGCAAGAGUGAGCAGGAGUUUCCCUCAAUACCCUCUGGUGGACAGAGAGAAAAAUUGGAGGAAAUCAGUCUCUCUUUUGGACAUCUGAGAACUCAGCUGGAUUCCUGUAGCUGACCCAUCAAAGGAUUCACUGAGUGUGAAAAAUUUGGUUACCUGUUGGACUUGCCUUUAGGAAUUUAUGUAAUUAGUUAAGGUAGUUAAAUAGUAUGUUUAAUUAGAAGGUAAAGCAGUCAGAUUUCCUUUCUCCCACUUUCCUUCCUCCCUUCAUCCCUUCUCUGUUAAUAAAUUCAAUAUUAUUUAUAUGUGCUAUUUUCCC
rnacentral:lncRNA from 1 species